rnacentral:rRNA from 1 species
AAAGCGUGCGCAGGCGGUUAUGUAAGACAGAUGUGAAAUCCCCGGGCUCAACCUGGGAAUGGCGAUGGUGACUGCAAGGCUAGAGUUUGGCAGAGGGGGGUAGAAUUCCACGUGUAGCAGUGAAAUGCGUAGAUAUGUGGAGGAACACCGAUGGCGAAGGCAGCCCCCUGGGUCAAAACUGACGCUCAUGCACGAAAGCGUGGGGAGCAAACAGGAUUAGAUACCCCUGU